UCCAGCAACCUCUUCCUGCUCUUGGUUC
rnacentral:piRNA from 1 species